UCAGGCUGCGGCACCAAGCAAUCGACGGAGAUGGAAAAGGCAAGAGUUCCACUGUUUUUCUAUGUUGGGGUCCAAGAAGUUCCCAACCUUUUCCUUUUUUAAUUUACCUUUUUUUAUAAAAAAAUGUUUAUGCUGAUUUUUUUGCUUACAAGAUGGUCUUAAAGAGCAUGAGUUGUGUCUUUUUCCGUAAUAAUCACUUCAAUACCAUGUUUAAGGUCAGUAGUUGCACUUUUCUUUUUGUAUAUGUGUUCUCAUAUAUUGAAAACUGAUUGUAUCUAUUUAUGAAUUAGAUGAGAAAAACUUCCUUUGGUCCUUAGCUUUUGUGAUAUAUUGCCUCUAAAUGUCUUAAGAAAAGUAUUUAUUGUUUUCAUACUUUUUUCUAGUUCAAGGGGGAGCCUUAUCUUUUGGCUACAGACCAAGGGUGCAUUAAUCAACCUGACUUGGUUGGGAGAAGCUAAAUGAGAUGGGUCAAUCGUGUAUGGUUUUGCUUUUGCAGACUGUGCUUCUUUAAAAUUUUGGAGGCUGAACAAAGAGACAAAGGAGAAGACCAAGACAAUUAUUGAUUGAUAAAUUCUAAACUUUUUUUUUUAUUUCACUUCAACUUUUUUUUAUGUCCAAUAUUAUG